ACCUUCGGGGAACGAUAACGGCGUCGAGCGGCGGACGGGUGAGUAAUGCCUAGGAAAUUGCCCUGAUGUGGGGGAUAACCAUUGGAAACGAUGGCUAAUACCGCAUAACGCCUACGGGCCAAAGAGGGGGACCUUCGGGCCUCUCGCGUCAGGAUAUGCCUAGGUGGGAUUAGCUAGUUGGUGAGGUAAGGGCUCACCAAGGCGACGAUCCCUAGCUGGUCUGAGAGGAUGAUCAGCCACACUGGAACUGAGACACGGUCCAGACUCCUACGGGAGGCAGCAGUGGGGAAUAUUGCACAAUGGGCGCAAGCCUGAUGCAGCCAUGCCGCGUGUGUGAAGAAGGCCUUCGGGUUGUAAAGCACUUUCAGUCGUGAGGAAGGUAGUGCAGUUAAUAGCUGCAUUAUUUGACGUUAGCGACAGAAGAAGCACCGGCUAACUCCGUGCCAGCAGCCGCGGUAAUACGGAGGGUGCGAGCGUUAAUCGGAAUUACUGGGCGUAAAGCGCAUGCAGGUGGUUUGUUAAGUCAGAUGUGAAGCCCGGGGCUCAACCUCGGAAUUGCAUUUGAAACUGGCAGACUAGAGUACUGUAGAGGGGGGUAGAAUUUCAGGUGUAGCGGUGAAAUGCGUAGAGAUCUGAAGGAAUACCGGUGGCGAAAGCGGCCCCCUGGACAGAUACUGACACUCAGAUGCGAAAGCGUGGGGGAGCAAACAGGAUUAGAUACCCUGGUAGUCCAC
rnacentral:rRNA from 1 species